GGACGGGUGAGUAACACGUGGGAACGUGCCUUUAGGUUCGGAAUAAGCCCGGGAAACUGGGUCUAAUACCGAAUGUGCCCUUCGGGGGAAAGAUUUAUCGCCUUUAGAGCGGCCCGCGUCUGAUUAGCUAGUUGGUGAGGUAAAGGCUCACCAAGGCGACGAUCAGUAGCUGGUCUGAGAGGAUGAUCAGCCACACUGGGACUGAGACACGGCCCAGACUCCUACGGGAGGCAGCAGUGGGGAAUCUUGCGCAAUGGGCGAAAGCCUGACGCAGCCAUGCCGCGUGAAUGAUGAAGGUCUUAGGAUUGUAAAAUUCUUUCACCGGGGACGAUAAUGACGGUACCCGGAGAAGAAGCCCCGGCUAACUUCGUGCCAGCAGCCGCGGUAAUACGAAGGGGGCUAGCGUUGCUCGGAAUUACUGGGCGUAAAGGGCGCGUAGGCGGAUCGUUUAGUCAGAGGUGAAAUCCCAGGGCUCAACCCUGGAAUUGCCUUUGAUACUGGCGAUCUUGAGUGUGAGAGAGGUAUGUGGAACUCCGAGUGUAGAGGUGAAAUUCGUAGAUAUUCGGAAGAACACCAGUGGCGAAGGCGACAUACUGGCU
rnacentral:rRNA from 1 species